CAAUCCGACCCUUAGUAGCGUAAUAAACGUACGUUUAAUCUUGCUCUUAUGUUUGAUACUCUAGGUUAUUACUUGAUUGUGCUAGAAAAUCUUAAAGGUGCGUCCAACCACUUGAUUAAUAUAGUCGGGACCCCGCUGAGACUUUUGAAACAUUCCCUGUAUUUUUCAGAGAUCGUUUAGUGAAUCCACUUUGAUUUUGAACCCGAUUAUUCCUUCCGAACCAUGCCAAUUUGGUUGGUGACUUGAUAAUGCACAUUUAAACCUAGGAUUGGCACAUGGCUAUUAUGACUCAGCCUAUUGUAAGUAUAUAGCAACAAAACCCACCUCAUUGGAAAAAAAAAAAAGAAUUAGAAAGGAUAGAAGGCAUUGGAGGAGAAAGAGGAGGUCACCGGUUGGAAGAAAGAGGAAACCGUCGACUGCCGCUUCGAUCGCCGACUGCCACCGUCACUUCCGAUCAUCACUCUCACCUCCAAACCUCUUCUCUACAAGGGUUGAAUUGGAGCCAUGAAGCUACCCGCUUGCUAGCCAUCACUCGUCUAUACUCUAGUAACCACUGCGACACGAAGUAAAUGCGCGAAGGACUUUAGUUAUCCUUUGAAGUUUUGCUUGGCCACUUGCGAUGUUUCUAUGAGAAAGUUUUGUGGACUACCAUACGCUUGGCUAAGAAUUGUACUUAUUUCUUUACUUUCGAACUUUGUAAAAAUUGUGGAUUUAGGGCUUUGGAGCCUUUCUGCUUUCAGUUGUUAUAAACACGUGUAAUUUAGAAUGCUC